rnacentral:rRNA from 1 species
GAGGGAUCAUUACCGAGUUUACAACUCCCACACCCAAUGUGAACGUUACCAAACUGUUGCCUGCGGCGGGGUCACGCCCCGGGUGCGUCGCAGCCCCGGAACCAGGCGCCCGCCGGAGGAACCAACCAAACUCUUUCUGUAGUCCCCUCGCGGACGUAUUUCUUACAGCUCUGAGCAAAAAUUCAAAAUGAAUCAAAACUUUCAACAACGGAUCUCUUGGUUCUGGCAUCGAUGAAGAACGCAGCGAAAUGCGAUAAGUAAUGUGAAUUGCAGAAUUCAGUGAAUCAUCGAAUCUUUGAACGCACAUUGCGCCCGCCAGUAUUCUGGCGGGCAUGCCUGUCCGAGCGUCAUUUCAACCCUCGAACCCCUCCGGGGGAUCGGCGUUGGGGAUCGGGACCCCUCACACGGGUGCCGGCCCCGAAAUACAGUGGCGGUCUCGCCGCAGCCUCUCCUGCGCAGUAGUUUGCACAACUCGCACCGGGAGCGCGGCGCGUCCACGUCCGUAAAACACCCAACUUUCUGAAAUGUUGACCUCGGAUCAGGUAGGAAUACCCGCUGAACUUAAGCAUAUCAU